GAUGAACGCUAGCGGCAGGCUUAACACAUGCAAGUCGAGGGGUAGAUUACUUCGGUAAUUGAGACCGGCGCACGGGUGCGUAACGCGUAUACAAUCUACCUUUUACAGAGGGAUAGCCCCAGAGAAAUUUGGAUUAAUACCCUCAUAGUAUUUUCGAAUCGCAUGAUUUGAUUAUUAAAGUUCCAACGGUAAAAGAUGAGUAUGCGUCCCAUUAGCUAGAUGGUAAGGUAACGGCUUACCAUGGCUACGAUGGGUAGGGUCCUGAGAGGGAGAUCCCCCCACACUGGUACUGAGACACGGACCAGACUCCUACGGGAGGCAGCAGUGAGGAAUAUUGGACAAUGGGGCGCAAGCCUGAUCCAGCCAUGCCGCGUGCAGGAAGAAGGUCCUAUGGAUUGAAACUGCUUUUAUACAGGAAGAAACACCUCUACGUGUAGAGACUUGACGGUACUGUAUGAAUAAGGAUC
rnacentral:rRNA from 1 species